rnacentral:piRNA from 1 species
UGGGAAUACAACAACGUGGGCACUGA